UACGGGGGGGGGUAAGCGUUGUUCGGAAUUACUGGGCGUAAAGGGCUCGUAGGCGGCCAACUAAGUCAGACGUGAAAUCCCUCAGCUUAACUGGGGAACUGCGUCUGAUACUGGAUGGCUUGGAUUCGGGAGAGGAAUGCGGAAUUCCAGGUGUAGCGGUGAAAUGCGUAGAUAUCUGGAGGAAUACCGGUGGCGAAGGCGGCAUCCUGGACCAUUACUGACGCUGAGGCGCGAAAGCUAAGGGAGCAAACGGGG
rnacentral:rRNA from 1 species